rnacentral:rRNA from 1 species
ACAGGGAUUGCCCUAGUAACGGCGAGUGAAGCGGCAACAGCUCAAAUUUGAAAUCUGGCUCUUUCAGAGUCCGAGUUGUAAUUUGCAGAGGGCGCUUUGGCUUUGGCAGCGGUCCAAGUUCCUUGGAACAGGACGUCACAGAGGGUGAGAAUCCCGUACGUGGUCGCUAGCUAUUGCCGUGUAAAGCCCCUUCGACGAGUCGAGUUGUUUGGGAAUGCAGCUCUAAAUGGGAGGUAAAUUUCUUCUAAAGCUAAAUAUUGGCCAGAGACCGAUAGCGCACAAGUAGAGUGAUCGAAAGAUGAAAAGCACUUUGGAAAGAGAGUCAAACAGCACGUGAAAUUGUUGAAAGGGAAGCGCUUGCAGCCAGACUUGCUUGCAGUUGCUCAUCCGGGCUUUUGCCCGGUGCACUCUUCUGCAGGCAGGCCAGCAUCAGUUUGGGCGGUGGGAUAAAGGUCUCUGACACGUUCCUUCCUUCGGGUUGGCCAUAUAGGGGAGACGUCAUACCACCAGCCUGGACUGAGGUCCGCGCAUCUGCUAGGAUGCUGGCGUAAUGGCUGUAAGCGGCCCGUCUUGAAACACGGACCAAGGAGUCUAACAUCUAUGCGAGUGUUUGGGUGUCAAGCCCGAGCGCGUAAUGAAAGUGAACGGAGGUGGGAACCCGCAAGGGCGCACCAUCGACCGAUCCUGAAGUUUACGGAAGGAUUUGAGUAAGAGCAUGGCUGUUGGGACCCGAAAGAUGGUGAACUAUGCUUGAAUAGGGUGAAGCCAGAGGAAACUCUGGUGGAGGCUCGCAGCGGUUCUGACGUGCAAAUCGAUCGUCAAAUUUGGGCAUAGGGGCGA